GGGGGCGAUCCGGCUUCGACGCGGAUCGCAAAACCGGAGGUGCAUGCCGAGGUGCAGAUGCCUCGUAAAACAAUCUGCAAUCAAAAUAGUUGCCAACGACGACAACUACGCUCUGGCUGCUUAAUUAGCCAGCCUCUGUCGCAAGUCUGCUUGUGGGCUUGCGGUGCAGGGGUCAAACUGACACAAGCUCGCUGUUUCGUCCGCCCCGGACGAAACAGUUAAACAUCAGGGGCUCGCCGGCCGCAUCCCUGCCCGUCGGGUGGCGUCCGGUUAAACCCAAUAGACGAGGCUAAGCAUGUAGAACCGAAGGCGGAGGAUCCGCGGACGGGGGUUCGAUUCCCCCCGCCUCCACCA
rnacentral:tmRNA from 1 species